rnacentral:lncRNA from 1 species
AAAAAAGGAAAAAGCAAAGAAAGCAAUAUAUUUUUUGUCAUGUUUCUUUUAAAAUUGGGUCAAUUUCUAAAAUGACCCAACUAAUUUUUAAGACUCAAAUCCCCUCAAGCUUAUUACCCCAUCCUAAAACCCUAGAGCCAAAUUUAUAUAAUAUAACCUAGACAUACACACAUAUACACAAAAAAUGCGUAGAUCCCCAAAGCUUAAGGGAGCGCAGCUUUUGGCAUAAAAAACGGACCCCCUUUUCCAUCGAGGAAAAAACCUCUUCUUCUUCAUAGAAUAGAGCAAAAAUUCAUGGCGGCUUCCUAAUCGAAACCACCAGCCCCGCCUCCCUUCACAUUUUUUUUCCAACUUCUUCCAUUAUUUUCGUCAUAGAUCACACAGGCACCACCAGACGAACAGAGAGCAGCGAUGAGAGAGUGAGGAAUUUUGUUCCAAAGCAUGGAGGUGGAUCGAGCUCGAGGGGUCGUUCACAGUGUCGUUCUUGUUCCCGUUUGAGUCCGAUUGUCGUCUCAAGUGUUUUGUUGUAACACUUGUUUGAUUUUUGUCCGUGUAUUACUGAAUAUUUAAUCAACCGAAAGUUUGAUUUUCAGUUUCCAUAGUUGCUAAAAUUCUAUUAAUUAAAAAGCAGUUUCAGUUCUUAAGCUUUCUUUUUGUUGCUGGGUUUUUGUUGAUUUGUGUCCAUUUUGGAGCCGUUUGUGAGAUCUGUUCGGAGUUGGGUAUUGAAAUUUCGAGGUCAUCAAGGUCCAGUCUGUCGAUUUCACCAUUGAAGUUGUGGCCGAUUAGUUUUGCUCUGUUUGAGCGCCCUGUUUCUGUUUCUGUUGCUUUUAGUUCUGUUCAAGUCGAUGUUACCAGAUGUUCUUGUACCCGAAGUUGCAGAAGUUGUUAUACAUGAAAUUUCAUCUUUUAAAGCUGCUGUUGAUUGCUGUUGUGUCGGCUGAAUUUAUGGCUGAGCUCCAGCCUUAGCUUUUCAACCUUUUUGAGCAUUUCUCGUUCGUUUGUUCCGGCAGUGAGAUCUGUUGGUGUAGCCUGGUUGAACUGUGGUUGCUCGACGACGAGGUUCGUGGUUCCGAGUCCGAUCUGCUGUCGUCUCUGUUUAGAUUGUCGCCAUUGAGGUAAAUUAUUCCUUGUUUUACUAUUGUCGGCUUAAUUUCAUGAUUUUGGUAAACUUGCGAAUAUAUUUUGCUCUGGUUUUGGUUGAAUGCUGUGUUAAUUCUCUGCUGCUCUAUCCUUAUGAAAUAUUUCAAACAUCUUAUUAACAAAGUCUAUAUUCAUUAGAAGAUACAUCGAUGUACUGAUGAUUUGGACUUUAUUAAAAGAAGUUUUGGUCCAUUCUUUUCCACUGAUUAUUCUUGAACAUGUUUGUAGUGAGAAACAAAAUAUUUUCUAUUGUCGUUUGUAUGUUUGGAUAUUUCUUUGGGCUUAAUUUGGUUCCAUAAUCUCUUCUGCCAAAGUUAGGAAUAGCAAUUAAAAAAAACCACAAUUUGUUUAAGGCAAAACGGACCAUGGGCUUUUCCUUAGUUGUAAAAAGGUAUUUUUACCUAUACAUCCCAUAUAACAAACCUUACUACCAUUAUUGUGCAUUGUUUGUUUAUU